rnacentral:rRNA from 1 species
UGCUUAACACAUGCAAGUCGAACGCCUGUAGCAAUACAGGAGUGGCAGACGGGUGAGUAACGCGUGGGAAUGUACCCUAAGGUUCGGAACAACAGUUGGAAACGACUGCUAAUACCGGAUAAGCUCGAGAGAGGAAAGGUUUACCGCCUUGGGAGCAGCCCGCGUUAGAUUAGGUAGUUGGUGGGGUAAAGGCCUACCAAGCCUACGAUCUAUAGCUGGUCUGAGAGGAUGAUCAGCCACACUGGGACUGAGACACGGCCCAGACUCCUACGGGAGGCAGCAGUGGGGAAUAUUGGACAAUGGGGGAAACCCUGAUCCAGCAAUGCCGCGUGAGUGAUAAGGCCUUCGGGUUGUAAAGCUC